CCUACGGGUGGCAGCAGUGAGGAAUAUUGGUCAAUGGGCGGAAGCCUGAACCAGCCAAGUCGCGUGCGGGAUGAAGGCCCUACGGGUCGUAAACCGCUUUUGCACGGGGAUAACACCCUCCACUUGUGGAGGUCUGCAGGUACCGUACGAAUAAGGGCCGGCUAAUUCCGUGCCAGCAGCCGCGGUAAUACGGAGGGCCCGAGCGUUAUCCGGAUUCAUUGGGUUUAAAGGGAGCGUAGGCGGGCGUUCAAGUCAGCGGUAAAAUCGCGGGGCCAAACCCCGACCCGCCGUUGAAACUGGAAGACUUGAGUGUAGAACAGGUAGGCGGAAUUCGUGGUGUAGCGGUGAAAUGCAUAGAGAUCACGAGGAACCCCGAUUGCGAAGGCAGCCUGCCGGGGUGCGACUGACGCUGAGGCGCGAAGGUGUGGGUAUCAAACAGGAUUAGAUACCCCUGUAGUC
rnacentral:rRNA from 1 species